rnacentral:rRNA from 1 species
GAUACCCGAAUGGGGAAACCCAGUGUGAUUCGUCACACUAUCAUUAACUGAAUCCAUAGGUUAAUGAGGCGAACCGGGGGAACUGAAACAUCUAAGUACCCCGAGGAAAAGAAAUCAACCGAGAUUCCCCCAGUAGCGGCGAGCGAACGGGGAGGAGCCCAGAGCCUGAAUCAGCAUGUGUGUUAGUGGAAGCGUCUGGAAAGGCGCGCGAUACAGGGUGACAGCCCCGUACACAAAAGCGCAUGUGCUGUGAGCUCGAUGAGUAGGGCGGGACACGUGGUAUCCUGUCUGAAUAUGGGGGGACCAUCCUCCAAGGCUAAAUACUCCUGACUGACCGAUAGUGAACCAGUACCGUGAGGGAAAGGCGAAAAGAACCCCGGCGAGGGGAGUGAAAAAGAACCUGAAACCGUGUACGUACAAGCAGUGGGAGCCCCACCACCAAAGCAUUUGCUGUACCGCGUUGAC